CAUCUAAUUAUGCAAAAAAAAGAAAAAAAUUUAUUCGUGCAAGUGCAAGUGGCCAAGUGGGGUGCUUUAUGUUUAAUCUUCUUUUUUUCUCCAUUUUUUCUGGGUUGUAUUUGUGCUUUAAUAUGAAACCUUUUUUUAGGGUUUUUUAAUGGUUGAUAAAUUUGGUUUGGAUCUGGGAAUUAGGCUUCAAGGUUGUUCUUUUAUAAAUGUUUUUUUUCUGAACUUUAAUGCCCUAUUUUUCUAUUGAAUUUUAAUGUUAGGGUUGUUUAUUGCUAGUUUUUCUAGCAGAUUUAAACUCUUUGUGCUUUCGAUUUCAAUAUACUUGUCUUUUUUGGCUUUGAGUAAGGAUAAGCUGAGCUUUAUUCUCUUCUAGAAAUUUUAGUUCUGUUUGUUUACUGAGAAAUAUUGAGAAAAAAAAUUACAAAUCCUGGAAAAAUUUUAGUUUAUUGAAGCUUGAAACAAACCCUUGAUUUCUUCUCUUCUCUAAGCUUUUAUUUAGUAAAUUCAGCUCUUGAACUAGUGUUAAAAUCCAAUAAAAUUUUCUUAUUGACUUUUGAAGUUUUUAGUUAAAAAAUAUGGAAGAUCAUAAGGUGUUUGACAUUUUGUCUUUAAUUCUUAAGGCUUUAUAAUAUGCAUGAUCAUCACAUAUAUAUAAGUGCCCCUCUUUCUUCUUACUUGUCCAGCCAGCUAGGAAGAUUCCAGAAUCUUCGGCGAGUUUUUGGUGAACAAUUUGCUUCAUUUACAGUGAAAUAUAUAUACAUAUAUAUUAUAUUGCCAGGAUUGUCUAGGAUUGGUGACUUAAAUCGAAGUUAUCAUCUUUCAUUACAUGUGAUAUUACUUCACUGUUUAAUGCUCACAAAGUUAUGUUUUUUUUAUCUUUUUGAAUGGACAUAUAUAUAUAUGUAUGUAUAUACAUGUAUAUGCUGUCCAUAGUACUAAUGUUGCUGUUAAGAUCAUAGUAUAUUGAAUGUUACAUACGGUUGCGCUGUUGUGGUUAUGAACAGUGUUGUCAAGGGCGCAAGGUGCACUUUGGGCGCCAGCAUCCUUAUAUUGCCUCAGGCGCAAGGCGCUACAAAAAACGUUAGCCUGAGUGAAGUGAAGGGCAAUAUGCAUAUGUGUGAGUUUUUGAUGGUUGGAAUCGCGAGUUAUGGAUGUAUUUCUAUUGCAUUGGGGUAAUGGUAACAGAAUUUAUCAUAUUCUAUGGUAAGCAAUCCAUUAUGAUUAGAGUAUUUGUCUACUAAGUAUAGCUUCUAGGCAGUAUAUUCUUAUUAUUUACUUUUUUCCUGUUUGCAGAUCUUAGUUUAGUUAAAGAUAUGAUACAUUAUCAAUUGACAACGAGAGAGAGCACGUUUGUAGCCAUUCAUACAUGGUCAUGGAUGCAUACAAGCGUGCUCUCUAUCGGUGUCAUGUGAUUUGUACAUGUCUCUCCUCGGUGUCUAUUUGCUGCAAUAGCUAGCAGGCGAUUCUUUCUUAUUCAGCUCCAAUUCCUUUAAUGAAACAUUAAAAAAUAGAUUGAUCGUCAUUAUCGUGAAUACAAGGAGUGGCUACAAGCAUGUUACAAGCAUGUAACCUCAGAGUCUCAAUAGAUUUCCAUUAUUAAUGUUUGAUCAUGAAUUUGUGGGGUUGAAGAUAUUUCCUUCACUAGAAAAUAGAAAUAGAAAAAUUAACACGAAUUUUAAACCCAAGUAUCUAUUCUGUUUAUUAACUAAAGUUCUGUUCAUAAUAUCUACUAGAAUAAGUAGUAUGCAUAUUGGUCCUUUCCUCAUUGCACCGAUAUUCGCAAACUGCUUGCAUCUUAAGAUAAAUAGGAUCAAAUUUAGGUAUGGUGUCUUGCUUUUGUUCGUGGCGAUGAAGUUAAACCGUUUUGCUAGCUUUGAACCAUUAUGAUCAUUUGAAGCUCAAUGAAUGAUGUUAAAGGAAGUAAGGAACUUCUAUCGUCAGAAUCUAAAAUCAAUGUCCUUAUAAGAUCCUUAGUGUUUGCUUUUCAGUUUCUUUUCAUAUUCCAACCUUAUAAGAUCCAUUGUCCGUUUGAUUCAAUUUUUCUUUGUAAGAUGUACAUGUAUCAGGUUUAUAUACUGUUGUGUUGUGCAGGAAUUUCUUCAUUGACAUUAAAGAGAAGUUUCAUGUAGGUAAAUUCUUUGCCCGUGCUUGGUGAAUGUGGCUGAUAUUGCACUGUAACUUUUACUUGGUUUUAUUUUGCUUGAAAGAACUAAAAUAUGAAUCUGGACCGUAUUUUUUAUAUGUAAUAUCAUUGGUAGGCAAUUAUAUACUGAUACUAUAGGGAGAAUGAAGAGUCAAUGUAACAUAGGGUAAAUAGAUAUGGCAACUUAUAACAAUUCAAUAUGAUAUCCAUGACCAGUUGGGCAACCCAACUGACCUGCACCAUUGUUGUUCGCCGCCCCCCCCCCCCCCUUCCCCUUGUUUGUAGGCAUGCAUGCUUAGAAGUACCUUUUGCGAUUUUUGUUGUUAGGACAUUUGGCAUAUUGUUUUUAGCGCAAAAUAGAUACAAUUUUUUUCCUACAUAAAGGCUUAUAAGAUAUUAAUUGCAUGCAUCAAUAAAUAGCUCAUAUUUGAGUGAAAGAUUUGAUAUGUUAUAUAAAUUGUGAUAAUGAAAUGCAUGCUCUUUGCAUAAAAAGAUGAAUUUCAAUUUCUCAAAACAUAUAGGUAUUUCGGUUUACCGUUAAAUACCUAUCCGAUGAAUCGAAGGUAUAAAAAGAAGCUGUUGAAUGUAUCAGCUAUCAAGGAAGAAAUACCUGGAUCGGAACCGGGAGCUUGUUCAAUUGGUUCAUGUACCCAUCUUCUAAGAGGUGGUAACUAUCACGCUUCAGUCUAUUCUGACUCGGAAAUGGCUUGAACUCUUUAUCACUCCUCUCUCUGAAUUUUUGAAUGAGGGAAACGAAACCACUGCCCUUAUCACUCAUAAUUAUAUGCUUUUAGGCUUUUUUUUAUAUGGCCAAGGUAUCAUUCAUGUCCAUUUUACCAUCCGUGAAGACUAAUUUUUUUGGAGCAUCUCAUUCUCAAGUCUCAUAAUGAUAAACAUAGCGGUAAGUGCCUUCGUUUCAACACUUUAACACUGUUUUCUCUCGGGAAAUUUAACUCGGUUUGAAGAUAUAGGAUUCAUGGAUUUCAUACCCGAUGAAUGUAAUCAUCUUGAGUUGGUGUUAUGCUUGUGACUGAUUAUAGCUGAAACCUUGUUUUAAAGCAUGUAUGAUUGCUUGAGCAUUGGUCUAUUGAUGUUGAACUUUUUAGGUUUACCAGGCAAUGUGUAGAACUGAAGUGAAGAUCAAUCAGUGAAAUGGUGAAUAGGUUGAUUCUACAUUGAAUAACAUGACCUCCAAUCUUGUAUCUUCUUGUUUUGAAAGUGUUGACAAGAGAUGUUUGGCACCUCGUUUAGUAUCGGUCAACCUAAAACCUAAAAAUGUGACUGUUUUCCAAGAAUGCGCUCGUAUCUGAUUGGUAUUGGAGCUCUAUUAGAAAGUUUUUUUCUCAUUUCACUUGCAGGGGUUGGCCUGCAUGCCGUAUCUCUCUUGCAUUCGAUGUGCAUGUUUGUUUUCCCUUCCUAGGGUGAUAGCAAUAUGUAUAUAUUAACCUCUUUUUUAUAGCAAUAUGUAUAUGUUAUCCUUUUUGAGCUCUAAAUGUACUAUAUGCCAUGCUUGAACUGUCGAUGAGUUGUUUAUUUAUAGGCCUUCCAUAUGUUAGAGUUUCUGCAUUCGAUCGAUUUGGUUAUUGGUUUUGGCAGUUUUCUUUGUUCUUUUUAAGUUCUUGUAUAGCAAUGUGCAUGCUUGUAACAGAGAUGAAUGAUAAUCUAGGACCCCUUCCAAGGUGUCGGGACCACCACUAAAUCCCCCAUCCAACCCUUUCGGGAAUGCAUUUUACAGUGUUGGUUCUGGACUGAUUCGAGGAGGAUUAGGUUGGUAGCUAACCAUUCCAUCAAAUAUCUUUCUUGUGCAUCAUUUUAGUAAAUGCAUUACAAUUCUAGUACUUUACUUUUUUCAGAUAGGCAAACACGAGUUUAGCGAUUUACAAUUUCUUUCUCCUUUUAAUCCUAACAAUACCAUUUUAGCGAUUCAGAUAGCUCAACAAAAUUCUGAGGUAAAACCAUUGAAGUAAUCUCCCGAGUAGUUGGUCUGCUUCAAUUAACAGAUAAGCAAGUACUUCUCCGAUCCUCAGUAUUACAUCCAAGUGAACGAUCAUGCAUGCAUGCAUGUAUGUGGAUCUUUUUAUUGUUUUGUUGCAUGUUCAGGGUCUUUGGACAAUUACUGAGCCAGUUGGAGGGCAGCACUCCUAUAAACCUCCCAUUGAUGGCAUUUGCUACGAACUUGGUCCUUACCGGCAUCUCAUUAGGUCCAUCAGGAAAGGUCAGUCCAGAGGGGCCGGUUUCUCCAAGUACUGCUGCUGUAAGGUAUUAUUGGUUUCAGUAGGGGGAGGAGAUGCCCCAUUGCUUGAGUAAUUGCAUAUGCCGGAUCGCAUUACUUCAUAGUUCUGUGGAUUUGUUUGUGCAUAGGCACCUUCUAAUAGCAGGAUUUAACCCCAAAUUUAGUUUUUCCUUGUUUCAAUCCAAUCUGUUAUGCUUGGAAAUUCUGAUUAAUUAUCUUAUUUUAAUUGUGUUUUACACUUUGUUUCUUUGUUGUGAAAUAAACAAUGAACCCUAAUUUGCUGCAUAAUUAUUUGUUACUUAAAUUAGUGAAAAAGAAUGAAGAUAACAAGUUUAUGCAAAUUGCAUUUGUUUGAGUAGCUUAGCAAAUAUUGAGAAAGGAAAUGCUUUGAUUGCAAUUAAUAGUAUGCAGAUAUGUGUAUCUUUCUAGUGUUUGAUUAAAAUGUAUUUUAUUAAACACAUUUAACUCAAUUGUAUGAUUUUUAUUUUGGUUAUGGCUAUUUUUAAGGAAAAUAUUCUAUCAGGAAUAUUUAAUGAAGUUAAUUAUUUGUACUAUUAUAAAAUAGAAAGAUUAAAUUAAAUCCUCUCUUAGGAUUAAAUUUUAAAUUUGAGUAAUUAUAUCUUAAAAAAUUUAAAUUUAAAGAUUAAAUUAGAAAAAUUGUUAAAAAUUAAUAUAGAUAAAAGAAAUAGGGCAAUUUACCAAAAAAAGUCGGUUCUUUUUUAAAUUUAUUGAAAUGGGCUAAUUUUUUGAUUAUUUACCGGAAUAGUCUAUUUUUUGGGAAAUCGCGUUCACGUCAGCGCGUUGACAUGGACGCGAUGUCCUGACACAUAGCGCAUUUUGGGGGACGUGAUUUUGAUUUUUUUCACGUUUGGUUUUUGGCUUUUAGGAUUUAGGGUUUAGGCUUUUUAGGGUUUUUAGGUCCCGGAAUAAAUUAUUUUGAGUUAACGUUUCUGAGCAAAUAGUAUAAAAUCGCUUCUACCAGGAUGCUAUUUGAGAAGAAAAUGUGAAAUCGCGCCCUCGUGGACGCGAUUUUGCUACAGUAGGUCAUGUAAGAAAUAAUUUUUUUUUGACGUUUCUGAGCAAAUAGUAUAAAAUCGCUCCUACCAGGAUGCUAUUUUAGAAGAAAUUGUGAAAUCGUGCCCUCGUGGACGCGAUUUUGCUACAGUUGGUCAUGUAAGAAAUAAUUUUUUUUUGACGUUUCUGAGCAAAUAGUAUAAAAUCGCUUCUACCAGGAUGCUAUUUGAGAAGAAAUUGUGAAAUCGCACCAUCGUGGACGUGAUUUUGCUACAGUAGCAAGUUUGGGCUGAGUUUAUAAAUUAGGCAGAAAAUGUUCUUAGAAUGCAUAAGUCAUAGCAGAAACAAUUUAGAGAUGCUAAGAAAGUUAGAGUUUCAAAAUGAGUGAACGUAUUAGUGCUGUUAUUUACUACGAUGGUGAGGUUUGCCACAUCGAGAAUGGUGUUUUUUUUGUCGGAGAAUACGGUGCGACUGUCAUUUAACCAGAAUAUAGAUUUGACAGAACUUCGUAAAAAAAUUAGGCGUAAAAUCUUCGGAACAACGCCAAUGAAAGUUUUGUCAAUCACAUAUCGAUUUUGUUCUUCUGUUGAUCCGGUGACAUAUGACUCGUUCGACAUAAAAGGUGCUCGUAGUUUGGAGGCAAUGGUGCAGACUCAUCUUGCUAGUGGAGCGUCUUAUAUUGAGUUAUAUGUACAAUUUACGUAGCCAACUGAUGUACUUCCGUUCGGUGUUCGAGAUGUAUACACGACCCCUGGCUGACACUCGGUUAGCGGGUUACAAAAUACGGAACAGCCCAUGUUCGGUAGCACAUCCCCUGCAAGACACUCUGUCGGUGGAUGGGACAUGUACGUCUGUGUAUCGACGUUUGAUGCUGGAAAUACGUACUGGAGAACUGCAUCAAGUUCUAGUGGAUGGCAAUCUACAUCUAAUUGGGGACGUUAUCAAAUGCCCAGAAGAAGGGAUGACGUACUACCUACGACAUCAACCAGUGAGGGGACGUCGUACGCUGCAGAUGAUUGUGGGUUAGAAGAUGACUCCGAUGUGGAUAAUUGGAGUGGAUCCACCUCGAGAGCCCGGGCCGGAUGGUGCAGAAGUGAGAUUAUUUUCUGAAACGGAGUCUAUUCCAACAGAAGGUGAAGAUGCUGAAAGGAGUUCAGAUGAUGAAGAAAAUCCACAAUUCAGAGCAUACUCAUCUCUAGCCCACAUGCAUAAUGUCGAUCUGUCAGCAAAUGAUGCGUUAGAGUUUUUAGAUCUACCACACCGGUUGCGCGAUCGUACAAGUUCGGGGGUAGAUUUCGGUGAACUUGAAGUUGGUAAUCAGUUUACCAACAAGGAUAGUUUUAUUGAUGCUUUGAAACAGCAUAGCAUCAAAAACAGUGUUAAUUACCAUGUCGUUAAAUCAAAAUUUGAUAAGUUUGAGGCGAAGUGUACGGUGUAAGACGGCACAUGUUCAUGGAAAAUUGUCGCCUCAUUAAGGAAAAGGACAGGGUUGUGGGAGAUAAAAAAAAGUACAAAGGUCCACAUACAUGUGCUGCAGGUACAGUAUUUAAUGUAUCUGAAUAAUAAUUUUAUUUUUCAAUGCUGAGUUAUUUAAUGUACUCCCUCUGUAGGUGUUUCACAAGAUCAUCCCAAAAUGGAUUCAGCUAUGUUAGCUAGCUUGAUACUGCCCACGAUAAAAGCAGAUCUUAGGACUUCAAUGCCGGUGAUAAUUGCCAAUAUCCGUAGCCAAAUGGGGUACAUGCCCUUUUACCGCAAGGCUUGGAUAGCUAAGCAAAAGGCGUUGGAGAAGAUGCAUAGUGGGUGGGACGCCUCAUAUAAUGAAAUAUGGCAGUGGUGUCAGGUGCUAGAGAGAUACGUCUCAGGUGCCAUCACAGACCUUGAAACGGAACAUGCGUACUACAACGGCCGAUUGCUACGUGGAUGCCAAGUGUUCAAACGCCUAUUUUGGACCUUUAAGCAAUGUCGAGACGCAUUUCCAUAUUGCAAGCCGUUGGUACAAAUUGACGGUACAUUCAUGUUCGGUAGGUAUACUCAUCGGCUAUUGGUUGCAGUGGCACAGGACGGCGGUGGGAGAAUUCUUCCAAUUGUAUUUGCAAUAACACCGGGGGAGUCGUCUAAUGACUGGGAUUUCUUUCUCUCUAGGUUAAGGAGGCAUGUGUGCCCCCUAACCUGAUAUCUGUGUUAUUUCAGAUCGGGGCGCCGGUAUACUAGCUGCAUUUGAUCGAGAGGGAAGCUUGUGGCAGCGCACACACCAUAAAUAUUGCCUAAGACGUUGCUUCGAACUACUAUAGGCAAUAUCCAUCUAAGAGCGAACGACGACAAGUGACCAACAUGGGUAUGAAAUAAAUAA